UCUUGUCAGAUGUAAACAAAGCGGUAGUUUCCUUCCAGCUGGUGAUAAAACUCUUUCUCGCUCUUCCUCACUCUCCCACGUCACGGAAGCAGUGUGUGUGUGUGUGUGUGUGUGUGUGUGUGUGUGUGUGAAGAAGAAAACGUUAUAUUAUAUCUACGUGUUUAAAAGUUUCCUUCAUUUAAGUCCAAAGAGGCUGGCUGGCUGAUGCUAAGGAAGGAAGAAAGGGGUGGUGUUUAGGGGUCUGGGAUGGAAAGCGAGUGAUGUGUUUUGUAGCCUUCAGAUAAAAAAUAUUAACAAAGUUUACACAGUGGGAAAAUUUUGGUGGUGAGAGAGAAAAUGACUAAAAUAUUACCUCAAAUUUAACCAAACGUGGUGGAGCUUCACACUCCUCAGCUGACCCUAAUCAAACCAAGCCUAACCCAAAGAAGCCUACCCUAACUUGUGUCUGGUGCUUCCUCCUCCCCAAGACUGGCUAUCUCGUGUCUUAAUCCCAAGCUGGCCUAACCAAACUUUACCUAACCUAACCUAAGCAAUUCUAACCUAGCCAAACCUUACCUAAGCAAGCCUAACCUAGCCAAGCCUUACCUAACCUAACCUAACCUAACCUUAAGAAACCUAGCCAAACCUAACAUAACCUAGCCUAACCAAACCUAACCUAACCUACAUCCUCUUCCCACUGCCCCACUUAACCAAACCUAAUGUAACUUUCAGAGCAACGGCAACCCUCCGAUCCGGCAAGCAAGUUGGCGGCAGCGAUGGUGGUGGCGGCGGCAGUGGUGGUGAGGUGGACGGCAGGGACAGAGGGGCAGUACAGGCUGCGGACAUCAAGGAGAAGAGGAACGCACGGACAAGCAAGGUGUUAUUCGGCAGUCUGAUCCUGGACCUGCUCGGCUUGAAGGUGGUGCUGCCUGUGUCUCCUGCUCUCCUCGACUGUUACUCCAAGCACAACACCAGCGGCUUGUAUUCCUCUCAGCUCUCCUGUGUGACUUAUUACCAGCAUAUCAUCGGUUUCGCUGCGAGGUUCCAUUCUGUCUUGUUUGGCACUGAUUGGCGUGACAUUCAGCAUAGGCUUCACCGUCGGGCACACUGCGGGGGCUGCGUUGUCCCGCUGGGGAAGUACUGGGUGGUUCGCGGCCUUGGCUGUCUACGCACGCACUCUCACUGUGGCUAACAUAAUAUUCUUUGCUGUCUUCUUCCAGGAAUCGCUGCCUGAGGGCAGAAGGAGGAGGGACAUCGGUGCCAGUUUGACCGAGGCUUGGGAGGUGAUCAAUCCUAGGGCUCUGUUCUCCGUCAGCUGUGUCAAGGGCCUGGGCAGAGAAGCCUGGAGUUAACGCUGAUCUUCGCGACCCACCACAAGCAUAGUUACGACUCGUUGGCGCAGGACCGCAAGUUUUCCUUCCUGGGCCUGGUCAUGGCAAUUACACAGAGAGGGUUUAUGCGAAGUGUUAAGACUGGAACUGAAAAAGCAACUGCCAAUUAGGCACACACCUACAUUGUGAUGCAGCUCCUUGGAGGUGGAGAGCUGGCUGCCUCAGAGGAUCAGGAAACACGAGAGGUUCACAGAGGCUCGCCUCGGGCUUUGGUCGUCGUGAGGAACCUGGUGUCAGCAGUUCACUACUUGCACAGGAAAAGCAUCAGUGUUCUCGGAGACCUAAAGCCAGACAGGGGUGAAAAGGGUUGGUGUUGAGGAUAGACAGAAAAGAAAAGAAAAGAAAGGAAAGGUAAAAAAAGGAAGUUUUUUUGCAUUGAUUUUCCAUCUGCUUAUUUUAAAGAAUUUAUUGCACGGAAUAUUAUUGAUCUCCAUCAUUUGUAUGGCCUUUAUAAUAAAAAGUAUGAAUUUA